AUUCCACAGUGUAACAGCAUCACCUCCAAGGCAGCUCAGACACACCCUGUUCCAGAGUAUGUGAUUUUAUCCUGUCACCAUUUGCCUUCCUUGGAAGAAUUUCUUCUAAACUGCCUUUUAUCUGCUUUUCUCCUUCUAAAUCUCCAUUGCAAUUGUUCAUAGCUGGCUGUGAUUAGUUUGUAUUUCUGCGGCUUUCCUGUGCUGAAUAACCACCAUUUUAUUUUAAUUAUUGGAACACAAUAAGAAAAAGAAUUGGGGAGAAAAGGAAUGAGCUGUGAGACUAUCUGUUUGUAGCAUUGGUUUCCUGUGUCUAUCAACAAGUUUUUCACUUGCCUAGAUAAAGGCAUUUUAUCCUACUCAUUCUUACUUGUUUUCUUGCAUCAGAAUCCUGCUUUGCUUCCUUCCUUUAACUCUUUUAUUUAUGUAAUGUUCCUAUUGCAAUUUACUGAACUGGAAGAGGAUGUUAGAGUUCAAGCUCAGUUUUGGCCUAGUCUGAGCCUCUGUACUUUUUGGAGGACAGGAUUUCUUGGGUAAGUGGAUUAGUGUCUGUCUUUGUGCUGUCCAGGGCUUCAUCAAAUUGCUACUCACAUCAUAAGAGAUAAAACCUUUGGCAGUUGAAACUACAUAUUUUUGGGACUGCUGCCUUUUGCAUAACACACCCUUGGGACCUCUAGUUGUUAUCUGAGGUCUGAGAGUUUUAUCGGAUUUAUUUUCAGACUUAUAAUAAAGGGAUAGACUCCAUUUGGGAAGCAAAUUUAUUGUCGCCCUCAAUGGCCUGUUUGUCACUGUGCACAGGAGGAUUUUAAAUCUGCACUUUAGAAGAUAAGAAUGAACAGAAGUUCUGCUGAUUGUGCUCCCUUUGGCUCCAGGAUUUUGUCCAGACAUCUGAGCUGUAGAAACAGGGAGACAGAAGCAGAUUGACCACGUUGUUUUAUCAACCACUUCAGUGUGCAGUAUUUUGAGUGAAACCCUGUCUUCCCGCUACGUUGCUCCUGUUCCACAUCUGCUUCCCAGCCUCACUCGUGUGCUGCUCUCAGCUUUGCUGCAGGAAACACGCAGCACAGUGUUGAUCAUAAACAUUACUACAGACUCUUUUAUUUAGCCAAGAGCAAUUGCAAAAUGGGACUGUGUCUGCCAGACAAACACAUGGUCCAGGUCAGAAAUAGGUUAAUUAAAAGGAGAUAAGCAGGGCAGGAAGUCCUGAAAUAGAUAAUAUUAGUUGGCAUGAUCUUGACUUUGAAACUUACUUAAUAGUUUUCCUUUUCAGAGAGUUUAUUUAUGUUCUAAAUCUUAUUCUUUUGAGCAAGGAGGAGAGGAAAUGUGAUUAAGUGAGAUUAAGUGGCUUUUAAUUCACAUUUUUUCUCUUUCCAGCUGUAUGCCUGCUACUCCUUGUGUUGAAGUCAGUGCUCUUGCAUUCAGUGGGGACAGAACCAGAGCCUGAAUAAAUAAUUGAAUGCAGUUCAGUGAAAAGUGCUCCAUGUGGAAUUUCAGAAUUGUGAUGACACUGGAUGUAGCAAACUCUCAUUUAACACGGGCAAAAGACUAUGUGUGCUAAAGCACAAACCUGUACAUUUGCUUAAUUAAAGUUCCUAGAGUCAAGGCAAUGGGGAGGGGUGAGGAAGGCAGGGAGGGAGAGAGGGCAGGAAGCCUGUGGCAGCUCAAAGCAUUUUGCCUGAGGACAGGAGGCUGCAUCAAAUCUCUCCCAAAUCCUGUCACCUUUUUCAUGGGCAGGAUUUGUGCUUGCAAAUCCAUGGCCAAAGAGUUACCUCAUGGCUUAUGCAGGCACCCACAUACAAAUUUCAGGACUUGUUCACCUUAUCCACACUUAAACUCACUCAUUGUAGUGGUAACAAGUCCUCUUUAUCUCUCUCAUUGCACAGAGAGAAUAUUUGUGUUCUCCUAAAAGUGGGAUGUGCCCUUUGGUGACACAGCCAACUGCUUGUAGGUGGCCUAUAAGGGUGGCUCAAAAAUCAUUAGAGAAAGCUAUUAAUGAAAAUAAUUUUCAAAGUGUACCUUCAGGGGGAUGCAGCAUCUGAGCAGCAGCCACCUGUGGUGCAGGGGCCGGGGAUGCAAACACCAAAGCAUGUGGUGCAUCUGCACCAGGGUCUCAGGACACUGAAGAACACCAAUUCACAGCCUUGUCAGACCUGACACAGCCUUAUCAGGAUGUAGCUAUCCUGACUGGGAUGUCAAUACUUUCUGAAAUGGGUAGGCUUAUGUAGCCCACUGAGACAAUGAAGAGAUGCUGACUGCCUGGUUGCCAAAUGCAACCUUAUGUCAUAGAUCUUUCAGACUUGAAGUUUGGACUGGAAAACUGUAAUUCCUCCAGCCACAAAAGAAGAGAAGAAUUUAUUUUCUCUAGAAAUCAGAUCCUUUGUGAAACGAACUUCCCAGGGCUUUUUGGCAGUAAGUGGUAUGUUUUUCACCGAGUUGCAUUCUUCAUAUAUUGACUAUGCUUACCAUGAAAUUACAAAUACAUUUAACAUUAAAUUGGCCAAAUUUCACUAUCAAUUUUCUGAUUUUCGCCUUUGAAGAAGGGUCUUACAAUGCUUAGUGAUUGGGCAAUAGAAUGAUAGAAGAAAUUCAAUGUCAGUAGAUGUAAAAUGGUGCAUAUGGGGGAAAAAAGCACUCUAGCUACAUACAGAAUGAGAGUUUCUAAAUUAGCUUCUGAUGUUCAGGAAAGAGAUUUUGGAGUCAUUACUGAUAAGUCCCCGUGAAAAUCAGUUCAUUGCUCAGCGGUGAUCAAAAAGAUUAUUAGGAAUUGUCAGGGAAGGAAUAGGGAACAAACAGAAAAAAUUAGUUAUGCUACCACAUAAAUUCAUGAUUUAUUUUUAUUCUGCAUACUGUGCAGUGAACUCAUCACCACAGCUUGGAAUGGAGAGCUGAAAGUGUCCCAGAAAAAGGAAGAAGCUGGCUCAGUGAAUGGAAUGACUUCUCUGUGAGAAAAAGCAAAAUAUACUGGGUAUUUUCAUCUUGGUGAAGAGAUGAAGCCUGAUAACAUCAUGAAUGGUAAUGGGUAGUUGAGGAAAGAGAUUAAUUAUCAUUCCUGACAAUAUAAGAAUAAGGGCUGAUGAAAUAAUCAGCUGGGCGUUUAAAAAGGGAGCACUUCAUCACCCAGCAUGUGGUGAAGUUCUGCAAGUCAUGGCCACGGGAUGUUACGGAGACCAAAAUAAUAAAUGGGUUCAAAAGCUGAUGGGGCAGUUUGGCAGGGAAUAAGGCCAUAAUUUUCUGUUCAAAAUUAUAUUGAGGAUGAAACCCCAGAAGUUACUAUGUCACCAGGAGCAGGAGAGGGUCACUCAGUGCCUGCAUUACUUCUCAUACGCUUCACUUGAGUGUUUCCUUCUGACCACACUCAGGAUAUAGAGCCAGGCUUUUCCACAUCUUCCAUUGCUGUCUGACAUGGGAGACCUAAACGUAUCAGUGUCUGUCCCUCACAGCUCUUCAAAAUGUCAUAGAAACAGCCAAAUCCCUAUUUACAAGGGGAUCACUGUCCUAGGAAGGGUCUACUGGGAUGGGAAAGCCACUGAGGGACUGACAGCCACCUUCUUCCUCCCCAUGUUCUGUGGUGCCCCAGAGAAAUGGCCGUGCAGCACCUUGCCAUGCCAGCCCUUCUCCUGCCAGUCCUCCCAGAACUUGCAGCCUCUGGGCUGCAUCCAGUCCUUAUGACUAAGGCACAGUGAGAGAGGAAAAAAAAACCCUCAGUGCAGCAAAGCCCUCAAGUCCUUAGUCAACAUCGAAGUGAAGCCUACGUGGUUUGGUCAAAAUCCAGCAGCACAUCUGUGGAAGAGGUGGGAGCUGGAUCCAACCCUCUUCUGACUUGGAUAGUAACCUGUAAUUACAGUUGUCAGACUGUAAGACACCUAAUAUAUCAUUCUUCAAUAUUCUUUUUUC